ACGACGCCAACUGUCUCAGGAAGAAAUCUCAACAAAGAAGUGAAAUUAAAUGCCGACAACUUCUUCUGUGCCUCCCGGAGCUACACCUCGGCUUUAAUAUUUCAUACCUGCUAGCAUAUGUUCCAUAUAUUCUCAUCAAUGACUGACAUCACCAGAAUUGGGUUCAAGGAAAUCAAGGAGACAAGGAAACAACAUAACGAGUUCUUUCCCCUGUGUCUGCCGGAUGAUCACGAGGCUGUAAUCUCACACAACUGGAAGGAAGAACUCAUCUCAGCUCUCACCGAAAGUCUCAAGAGAUACCGCUCAUGGGUCUUCCCAUUAAUUUCUGUGCAGCAUCUUCGCAGACACUCAUUCUUUUCCUUAUUUUUAUUUGCAUAUUAUCGUUCCGAGUCCCGAGGAGCUGGACUCACUGCCGUGCACGGAGAAGAAGGAAAACAGAAGCAUGAAUGAACAACAGUGCAACAGAGGUAACGCUGAUGGAGGAGGAAGUCAGUUUGGGGCCAGGUGAUCGUCUGCCACAGUGUUUGGGAAAUACAUGGGGCUAUGUACGUCACUGCAACAAGAGAACUGGCACAAUGGAGGUGCUUGGAAAAAAAAAUCAUUCCUGUUUCCAUCUGUCACCUUAUGUGUAACGGCACAUUAUAUAUUUCAUACUCUCUCAUGAUUCAGCUCCAAAGGUGUCACAUAUUUGAGAUGCUGUUUGUAUCACACUGUGCAACAGCAUUGUCGACAGUCGAGCCCUGUAGCGCUGGUGGCACAGACAGCGGGUUGGUGAUACAAAGAGUGACUGAAUUUCAUUUUCUCUCUGAAGGUUUCCAUUAGAUUCCAUAAAAAAUAUAUGCAUUCCACAAUCCAUAAUUCAUUACCGAACCUCGCAAGAGGCAACGGCAACACUUGUCAAACAUGAUUAACUAUGUCUGUAUCUUACACACAUUUAAUUCCUCUCAGUGUCUCUGCCUGUAAAUCAGACAACAAUCACCAGCGAGCCCGCUCACAAGAUUUGUGGCUGAUGGUUUUGCCAUGUAUUUGAAUGUCACUGACAAUAAUAAUGAGGGGAGAAAAAACAGUUGUUGGGAUUCAACAACUUUUUCUGAAUGAGUAAAAACUUGGUGUUCUAGUAAACAAAAGAAACUCAGCACAUUGAACAAACAGUUCACUUUCAUUUGACUAAGCAGGGCAAAUGUUCUCAUUGCCAUCUACUGUCUGCAAAAGGCAUGAAAUAAAAAAGAA